rnacentral:rRNA from 1 species
GAUGAACGCUGGCGGCGUGCCUAAUACAUGCAAGUCGAGCGAACGGACGAGAAGCUUGCUUCUCUGAUGUUAGCGGCGGACGGGUGAGUAACACGUGGAUAACCUACCUAUAAGACUGGGAUAACUUCGGGAAACCGGAGCUAAUACCGGAUAAUAUUUUGAACCGCAUAGUUCAAAAGUGAAAGACGGUCUUGCUGUCACUUAUAGAUGGAUCCGCGCUGCAUUAGCUAGUUGGUAAGGUAACGGCUUACCAAGGCAACGAUGCAUAGCCGACCUGGGAGGGUGAUCGGCCACACUGGAACUGAGACACGGUCCAGACUCCUACGGGAGGCAGCAGUAGGGAAUCUUCCGCAAUGGGCGAAAGCCUGACGGAGCAACGCCGCGUGAGUGAUGAAGGUCUUCGGAUCGUAAAACUCUGUUAUUAGGGAAGAACAUAUGUGUAAGUAACUGUGCACAUCUUGACGGUACCUAAUCAGAAAGCCACGGCUAACUACGUG